ensembl:lncRNA
GGAUAAAGUAGGCUAAACUUAAGCAGGUUCCCCACGUUAAACUGCUAUAUGCAUUAUGCUACAUGUCAUUGUAAAAUUGUAAUAGGCUUCUUUUCUUAAAUGCAUAUGACUCGGGAUGUCAGUUUGACGUAAGCCAGUAUGGCUAUGAUUAAACUAAUCAAGAGCAUAUUUUUAAAUGAGCGGGUCGGGUGCAUUAUUUUUAUAUAAGGCCUAAUAUUUGAGGUCCGAGUUGCGGUCAUUUAUGUACACGCGCACGAAUACUAUAGAGAGAUCGGUUCCGUGAUUUAGAAAAGUACAAGACACGCCUCCUACUACAAGUUACGCCUACUACAAGUCACGCCUCCAUCUUGCAGGAAGCAGACGGAUACUAUUGGAGUGGUUGCGUAAAUAGCACACCUGUUUUUGAAGUGGAUGAUUAUGUUGCAAAGGCGUUGAUUGGCUACAGGGCCAUAAUAUAAAGAGAUAGCAGAGGAUCAGUGCAACAGUGUUUUAGGUCUGGUUUGGCCUCAACCAAUCUGUCUGGGAAAUACUUUGAAUAUAGUUUGCCAUGGCUGUUGGGUGCAUUCUCAGGUAGUGUUGGAGUUGUAGCUUUUGUCUUCUCUCUUAAGUUAUCUGUGUAGCUGAUUAACACUUUUUCUUGUAUUGCAGAGUGUCUUGGUUUUGUUUGUUGCUGUUUGGUGGCAGUCUUCCUUUUCCAUCAAUGAAGGGUUACAGCUAUACCUCCAAGAAUGACCAUCCUGAAAUUGGGGGUGAUAAAGAUGACGAGCUACAAACUUCUAAUACUCUAAGGUUUGAUGCAUAUAGCCUAGAAAAAGGCUAUUCAGACCGAAGCAAAAAAGUCCCACUAGCUGCAGCUCCAAAGCAGGCACUGUUGAACCCUGAGGAAGGGGCGAGGGUCCAGGGAGGCAGAGCUGUGGAGUUUGGACAGAAAAAUGCUGAGAUGGAAGGCCAGAAACUUGUCAAGCCAGUGACAUUCCCUCUAAACCCUCCCAACCAGCAUGAUUACUCUUUUGAGGAGCAGUGGGGCAGCACUAAGCCUCAGUUCCCACCCUCUGACACUAAAGGGGUUUACUCUAGCUCUUCAUUGCACCUUGACCUCCCAGCUGGUGUACAAGAAGGUUCACAAAGCUAUUCCACUAACCUUGUCUACGAGGACUUUUCUCAAUACCCAGCUGCUGAAACUGCACAGCUUCUUUCACCAGAUGAUGACCCCUACACCUAUGACUCUGUGAUUGCGGAACAGCCAAGCAGUUGGUCCUCUGAUCGUUACAUUACCACAGAAGAGCCGGUAUUCUCCAGUAAUGCAGGUGACUGGGCCCAGGGCGCUCCGAACAUUAGCGCACAAAUUCUGGAGGCUGAAGCAGUACCUAGUACUGACACUAAAGGGGGUUACUCUAGCUCUUCACUGCACCUUGACCUCCCAGCUGGUGUACAAGAGGGUUCACAAAGCUAUUCCCCUAACCUGGUCUAUGAGGAUGUUUAUCAAUACCCUGCUGCUGAAAUUGCACAGCUUCCUUCAGAAGAGAGUGACCUCUCUGACUACAACUCUGUGAAUGUGGUCCAGCCAAGCAUUUGGUCUUCUGCUCCCUACAUGACUAGAGAAGAGGAGCCGGUUUACGUCAGUAAUUCAGGUGACUGGGCCCAGGCAGCGCCGACCAUUAGCGAACAAACUCUGGAGGCUGAAGCAAUACCUAGUACUGACACUAAAGGGGGUUACUCUAGCUCUUCACUGAACCUCAACUUCCAAGCUGGUGUACAAGAAGGUUCACAAAGCUAUUCCCCUAACCAUGUCGAUGAGGCUGUUUAUCAAUACCCUGCUGCUGAAACUGCACAGCUUUAUUCAGAGGGGGUUGACGCCUCCAAGUAUGACUCUAUGAACGCAGUCCAGCCAAGCACUUGGUCCUCGGCUUCCUACAUGACCAGAGAAGAGGAGCCGGUAUUCUCCAGUCAUCCAGGUCACUGGGCCCAUGUUGCUCCUGUGGAAACCCCUGCCUAUCCAAGCGAUGUGGCUGAUUUCGGCUUGGACUCUACUUCAAGUAAACCCGCUGCACAACCAGUCCUCUUCAAGCCACUGAAGAAGGCUCCUCAGCUCCCCAGCUCCAAGUGGCUUCAGAGGCCAAAGAAGGUGAGGGACCAGACUGCAUCUACCUACAUUGUCCAAUCCAAGGGCUCACACCGCCGAAGCCGCCAGAUGUUAUCCAAGAAGAAGUACUUCAGCGGUUUCCCUCCACCACCCCCAUUCGUGACUAUGGCUCUGAGACCGUAAGGGGUAAAUGGUGACCACUUGGCCUUCAAUCAAUUGUGUAUUUUUCCCACUUGCUUAUGGAUUUCUACACUGACUAUACCUUCAGUAAUGCUUCGCACUUUCAGCAUAAAAGCUUGUUCCCUGAAAAGAAUAAACUAAAUGUAUCUAUUUAAACUUGACUUUUGUCUUU